rnacentral:rRNA from 1 species
AUUGAACGCUGGCGGCAUGCUUUACACAUGCAAGUCGAACGGCAGCGCGGGCUUCGGCCUGGCGGCGAGUGGCGAACGGGUGAGUAAUACAUCGGAACGUGCCCAGUAGUGGGGGAUAGCUCGGCGAAAGCCGGAUUAAUACCGCAUACGACCUGAGGGUGAAAGCGGGGGAUCUUCGGACCUCGCGCUAUUGGAGCGGCCGAAGGCAGAUUAGCUAGUUGGUGGGGUAAAGGCCUACCAAGGCGACGAUCUGUAGCUGGUCUGAGAGGACGACCAGCCACACUGGGACUGAGACACGGCCCAGACUCCUACGGGAGGCAGCAGUGGGGAAUUUUGGACAAUGGGCGAAAGCCUGAUCCAGCAAUGCCGCGUGUGUGAUGAAGGCCUUCGGGUUGUAAAGCACUUUUGGCGGGAACGAAAAGGACUGUGCCAAUACCACGGUUCGAUGACGGUACCCGCAGAAUAAGCACCGGCUAACUACGUG